GACCGCGUAGCUCAGUUGGAAGAGCAUUGGGCUAGUAUUCCAAAGGUCGUAGGUUCGAUUCCCACCGUGGACA